rnacentral:lncRNA from 1 species
AUUAACCAUAAAAAAAGUAAUCAAUUGGACUUUAUCAAAAUGAAAACUCUGCUCAUCAAAAGACACUGUUAAGAAAAUAAAAAGGCAAGUCACAGACUGGGAGAAAAUAUUUAAAUAUAUAUGUUUGACAGAAUAUAUAAAGACUGCAUACAAUCCAACAAUAAAAAUACAACUCAAUUUUUAAAAUCACAAAAGACAUAAACAUUUAACAAAGGUAGGUGUAUGGACGGCCAAAAAGGACAUGAAAAGGUGCUCAAUAUCAUCAGUCAUCAAGAAAAUAUGAAUAAAAGCCACAAUGAGAUACCAUUUCAUGCCCAUUCGAAUAGCUAAAUUUUGAAAGACUGACUAUUCCAAGUGUUGGUAAGGAUGUGGAGCAACUGGGACUCUCAUUCAUUGCUGCAAUGACGUAAGCUGUGGAACCAAGAUUGGGCCAUGCCAGGAAGGCUGAGCAGAGUUAAUCUCAUGCUGGAGAAAACAAGAACAAAAACAAGGACAUGAAAAGGAAUUGAACUGGGCUUGGAUCGGGCCACAUGGUUGACUUGGGGAAAUAUCCUGAUAACUCUGUAAUUGAGCUACCUGGGCCAAGGAGCUAGUUCACAGCCAGGAUUAGGGUGUACAUUCUCCUGAGGAGAAUUUAUCCACCCACAGUCAUUCCGCCUGGAGGGAGGUCAAUCCUGAGGCGGAUGAUGGGGCCAGCAGUGGAGGGAAGGAGACUCUGUUAUGGGAUUGAGGGGGCAGCUGAGGAUGGCUUUCCACUGGCAGAGGUUCAGUUAUUCUGUGUCACGUGAGAAUGGCUGCGAAUUAGAGACUCUGAGGUAGGUUUUGGGUCUCUGAGUCUGAACACUAGCAAACCUCAUGGUUGUUAUAACCACGUUGGUGGUUCCUUUCUAUGAACCCCAAGCUUUUCACAGCGUCUCUCUGAAAGUCACAGGCUGGUCUUAUUUGUGCUGUGGGACAUUGGAGAGCCAGCACAGGGGGCUCAGCAGCAGCACCUGUGGAGAGAGACAGACAGAGGGACUGAGAGAGCCGGGAAGUAUGGC